GUGGACACAAUCAGUUUCCAGGAGGUCGAGCAUUCCUUAGAUAUGAGGUACUUCAUGAAUCAAAGUCAAUGAAAUUAUCCAUUCUUUUCUUAUAUUCCAGCCCACUACUGAGAAGUUGGGUAAGGAGCGAGAAGAUCUUAACUGCACCCUUCAUAAUACCCUGAACCCACAACCCAGUGAUAAAGACAGGAGCAAGCUCUUCCAGCUCGUUUAUAUGAUCUCCAACCCUCUAUCACACAGAGUGGAGGAUAUGAGUGCUGUGAGCCAAGUCCCCUGGUUAGGAAGGGGUGAAGGUGACAGAGGGGCAAUUCCCCUGGGGACAUUAUCACGUAGGGAUAGCCUCACUGCUCUAUUCUACUGGUGAUUAAUAGCUACAGGAGAUGCACUGGGACAUCUGAUGAUUCAUGAGGAAUUGCACAAGCACUGUAGUAGCCCAGAACUUAAUUUGUCCUUGGGUUGGUGGCCCACAUGCUCAGUGGCAGUCAAGGCCCAGAAUGGCCCACUUGGGUAUUUCCCUUGAGAAGGAAUCUAUGACUAGCCAUGGUCAGACUAUGACAAUGUAGUGAGAUGAGAGAGGACCUCUGCUCAGG